rnacentral:tRNA from 1 species
GGUAAUAGCUCAGUGGUAGAGCACGUGCUUAGCAUGCACGAGGUCCUGGGUUCAAUCCCCAGUACUUCCA